rnacentral:rRNA from 1 species
AUACCAGGUGCUUUAAGCAU